GAUGAACGCUAGCGGCAGGCCUAAUACAUGCAAGUCGGACGGGAUUCAGGAGCUUGCUUCUGCUGAGAGUGGCGCACGGGUGCGUAACACGUAUGUAACCUACCUUUAUCAGGGGGAUAGCCUCUCGAAAGAGAGAUUAAGCCCGCAUAAAAUCACAGCACAGCAUUGUGUAAUGAUCAAAUAUUUAUAGGAUAAAGAUGGGCAUGCGGAACAUUAGCUAGAUGGCGGGGUAACGGCCCACCAUGGCGACGAUGUUUAGGGGAUCUGAGAGGAUGGCCCCCCACACUGGUACUGAGACACGGACCAGACUCCUACGGGAGGCAGCAGUAAGGAAUAUUGGUCAAUGGGCGGAAGCCUGAACCAGCCAUGCCGCGUGCAGGAAGACGGCCCUACGGGUUGUAAACUGCUUUUAUACGGGAAUAAACCCAGAUACGUGUAUCUGGCUGAAUGUACUGUAAGAAUAAGGAUCGGCUAACUCCGUG
rnacentral:rRNA from 1 species